rnacentral:rRNA from 1 species
UACGUAGGGGGGCAAGCGUUGUCCGGAUUUAUUGGGCGUAAAGAGCGUGUAGGCGGCCAGGUAGGUCCGCUGUGAAAACUCGAGGCUCAACCUCGAGAUGUCGGCGGAAACCAUCUGGCUAGAGUCCGGAAGAGGAAAGUGGAAUUCCCGGUGUAGCGGUGAAAUGCGCAGAUAUCGGGAAGAACACCCGUGGCGAAGGCGGCUUUCUGGGACGGUACUGACGCUGAGACGCGAAAGCGUGGGGAGCGAACAGG